rnacentral:rRNA from 1 species
GACGAACGCUGGCGGCGUGCUUAACACAUGCAAGUCGAACGGAAAGGCCCUGCUUUUGUGGGGUGCUCGAGUGGCGAACGGGUGAGUAACACGUGAGUAACCUGCCCUUGACUUUGGGAUAACUUCAGGAAACUGGGGCUAAUACCGGCUAGGAGCUCCUGCUGCAUGGUGGGGGUGGGAAAGGUUCGGCGGGUGGGGAUGGACUCGCGGCUUAUCAGCUUGUGGGUGGGGUAGUGGCUUACCAAGGCUUUGACGGGUAGCCGGCCUGAGAGGGUGACCGGCCACAUUGGGACUGAGAUACGGCCCAGACUCCUACGGGAGGCAGCAGUGGGGAAUAUUGCACAAUGGGCGGAAGCCUGAUGCAGCAACGCCGCGUGCGGGAUGACGGCCUUCGGGUUGUAAACCGCUUUCGCCUGUGACGAAGCGUGAGUGACGGUAAUGGGUAAAGAAGCACCGGCUAACUACGUG